AUGGCACAGAAAUUUACUUUGGAAAAUGUGGGGGCCCCCCUCCCCCCCAAAAAAAACUACGUCCAUGCCUCUGACCAGAAAGGUUCAGGUCAUUAUUUUAUCAGGAUAAAAGAGCUGAAUUCCAUGCCUGCUUCAUGUCAGACUAUCUGUGUGUGGACGGGAGGUGUUAGCUGCUGGACAGACCUCCUCUCUCCAGUUGUUAGAGAGAUUUUCUCAUUUAAUUCAAGUUUGCACGUAACUGUGUGUUAUCAUUUCUGUUGGAAUUGUUACGUACACGGCACACUACUACACACUACUACACACUACUACACACUACUACACACUACUGUACACUACUUCACACUACUACACACUACUACACACUACUACACACUACUACACACUACUUCACACUACUACACACUACUGUACACUACUACACACUACUACACACUACUGUACACUACUUCACACUACUACACACUACUACACACUACUACACACUACUACACACUACUUCACACUACUUCACACUACUACACACUACUACACACUACUUCACACUACUACACACUACUGUACACUACUACACACUACUACACACUACUGUACACUACUUCACACUACUACACACUACUACACACUACUACACACUACUACACACUACUUCACACUACUUCACACUACUACACACUACUACACACUACUUCACACUACUACACACUACUGCACACUACUACACACUACUUCACACUACUGUACACUACUUCACACUACUACACACUACUACACACUACUACACACUACUACACACUACUUCACACUACUUCACACUACUACACACUACUACACACUACUUCACACUACUACACACUACUGUACACUACUACACACUACUACACACUACUGUACACUACUUCACACUACUACACACUACUACACACUACUACACACUACUACACACUACUUCACACUACUUCACACUACUACACACUACUACACACUACUUCACACUACUACACACUACUGCACACUACUACACACUACUUCACACUACUGUACACUACUUCACACUACUACACACUACUACACACUACUACACACUACUACACACUACUUCACACUACUUCACACUACUACACACUACUACACACUACUUCACACUACUAA
rnacentral:lncRNA from 1 species